rnacentral:rRNA from 1 species
UACGUAGGGUGCAAGCGUUGUCCGGAAUUACUGGGCGUAAAGAGCUCGUAGGUGGUUUGGCGCGUUGUUCGUGAAAACUCACAGCUUAACUGUGGGCGUGCGGGCGAUACGGGCAGACUGGAGUACUGCAGGGGAGACUGGAAUUCCUGGUGUAGCGGUGGAAUGCGCAGAUAUCAGGAGGAACACCGGUGGCGAAGGCGGGUCUCUGGGCAGUAACUGACGCUGAGGAGCGAAAGCGUGGGGAGCGAACAGG